AGAUAACAUAACAGGUCUAUAAUUUUUUAGAUUGUCUCUGUCACCGUUUUUAAAUACCGGAGUUAUAUAACUGUCACGCCACUUACUAGGGAAGGUAUGUAGUCUCAAAGAUAAAUUAAAUAAUACAUGUAAAGGUUUAGAUAAACUGUACACACAUCUUUUUAAAAAAUAUGUUGGAAUGUUAUCAGGGCCAUAACUAAGUUUAUCCUUGAGACCAUUCAUAGACUCAAAGACUUCAGAAA
rnacentral:lncRNA from 1 species